UACUUUUACUUAUGUAAAGGAAUUCUCUGAAGGUUCAUGACUACGAAUGACUUUCACAUUAUACACUGUUUUCAUAUCAUCAUUUUCAGUUUUAUAUUGCCCCACAACUCAGUGAGUCACUGAGUUGGAUUGUGCUGGAGAUAAGGAGUCUGGCUCUAGUUGGCACUGAGAGACCAGGGAAUGACAAAGACCCUGACCGGCCCUGCUCACCAGUCCGGCCACGCAGGACCAGAAACAUUCAGUGAGGCCAGACCGGCCCAGACAUCAACACUUCACUGGGGCUGCAGCACAAAACAACAAGAGGGAAAAUCUAAACUCAGGAGGUGAAUACAAACAAGCUGCAGAACAGGAAGAAUUCAGACAUCGGGACCAUGUUUUAUCAUGUCCUGUAAUUCAUUUACUCCAUAUUUUUUAAAGUGUGUUUUACCACCUCUCAGGAAGCUGCUGGUUUCCAUUUCAUUUCACCAACAUGAAAAUGGCUCAGCUUGCAUAUUUAAGUACUUCAUCAAAGAGAAGAAGAAAUUGUGUCAUUGCAGCAUGAAAUUGUAAUUAAUACCAGAGAAAACAGCAUGAGUAGGAAACUAGCAAAAUGAGUUAUGUAAAAAUAUGCAAAUAACAACUUCAGCGUAUGUAAAAUCUAAAUAUAUUCUUGAGAGUUAUGUAAAAAAUAAAAAGUAGACUAAUGGAUCACAGCUCUUUUUCUACAAAGAAGAAACAUUUUCAUGAUUUUAUGCUUUGCAAUUAUACCAGAAUAUUAAAAAACACUGUAACAUGACCUAAAACUAAAAUAAUUAACAUCUAUUUAUCAAUAUGGUGCAUGUAGGGUGAAAGAAAAAUGGGACUUGUGAUUUCAAACAACACACUGAUGUGUAAAUAGGACAUACAUAUCAUUAGGCACUGUUUUGAGAUAGCAUCCACCCUGUCUAUAAAGCCAUGUAAAUGAUUAUAUAUAGUUAAUUAAUUUAAAGCCAGAUUUUUUAUUUAUUUUUUUUAGUCUAGUAGUAUUACUAUUGUUUUAGUACAAGCUAAUAUAAUGUUUUUUUCCGAACUUCAGGGCCUCCGUAGAAAUUAAAAUUUUAGUCAGAUGAAAUGCUAAUAUUUCAUAAUUUUUGGCUCACUAUAAUAGUUUGAAAUCACCAGUUUGUGUUGAUGUUUAUAAGCAGUGCAUCAUUUUAAACCAAAGUAUUUUCACAACCCAAAUUUUAUAUUAUGUUCAGGUGACUAAAAGACUAAACCUUGAAGUGAACUGUGAACUGAAAAUGUAAUCAUUUUGUCCAGAAUUUGCUCAAAUUUACAAACGCUCAAAUUCUGACUUUCACACUCAGAAUUUUGAUUAUAUUUUUGAGUAUCUUGUAAUUUUUACUUCUAUCUAACAAUUUUUCACAUUUUGUCUUUUUAUCUCAUGUAUCUCAUUGGUUAGUAUCUCAUAAUUCUGGUAUUUCAUUUACUUUUCCAUAUCUCUGCAUCUGUUUUCUUGAUGGUAAUAAACCUCUGUAAUGUAAAGUUUCAGGUCUGUUUUAUGUAAAACUACAGAAACAGAUUUACAUCAGUGUGACUUGGCUCUGAUUUAUCUAUGGUUUAACUCCCUGGUUUUUCAUAUGCUGUGGCAUCAGUGACGAUUCUGUCGCCUUGUCUUGUGUCACAUCAUGGCAGAGAUCGGAUGGAAAAUAUUUCCAGGAGAAACCAGAACAUGAACCUCGCAAUCAUUAGCAACACAGAUUGUGUUUGGAAAAUGCUCCAGAAAUUAAAAAAAGCUGAGGAAUCAAGAAUCAGUGCAUGCAGAUUAAUACAUUUAAUUAUAUUUGAGAUUUGUUGACUUGUCUUUACUGGGUUAUGUAAACCUUUCAUGUAUGUACUGUACUGCAUGUCCCCUUUUUGUAGACAUUUUGCAUCUCUGUAGUUUUUAGAGCUUCAGUGGUUGUUUUGCCCCUUCUUGUAGAUGGUUUUUUUAUCUCUCUGUGGUUGUUUUAAGUGUCUUCGUAGAAUUUUUUGUAUCUAGUUUUGUAUCUAUUUGGAGUCAUUUUGUGUUUAUUCUAUGUCUUUGGAGUCAUUGUAUGUGUAUUUUUAGUCUUUUUGUGUCGUUUUAGAAUAUUUUUUAAUGUAUUUAUACUCAUUUUGUAUCUCUUUUGAAUCAUUUUGUGUAUUUGUAGUUGUUUUGUAUCUCUUUGUUGUCAUUUUGUGUCUCUCUGUAUCUGUUUUGUGAAGCCGUUCACUGCUCAUUACUCCACAUAUGUGUGAUUUUAUCUGCUGUUUAUGGACAAAUGUAAAAGGUAAUUGUUUAAAUAUAAUUUUCUUGACCUUUUGAGCUUUGAUAAUUCAAACUCAAUAGAAGAGAGGAAAUAAUGUUCCAGUGGCAAAUGCUGUGGAGUCUUUUUCUGAUCCCAAAUCAGCCUGUGGUUACUGCCACCUGGUGGACAAACAUUUUCACUGCAGAUCUUAAACUCUUUUUUUUUUUUUCCUCCUUUUUGCUAAUGACCUAAAACCAAAAAUAUUUUCUCUAUGAAAGCAUCGACUACUCACCUCUUCUCCUCUUCAUUCGUAUCCCCCCCUUUCCUGUAAACCGACUGCUUGUUUUGGAGGUCCAGUUACCGCGGCAACCGGCCACAACACAGUGAUUCAAUACCGGACUGAACCUGCAACAGAAAAACAAGAAACUUUUCAAGGACUUAACUUUAAUAAAAAGAAGAAAGAGAGAGAAGAAGAAGAGGCCUGAAUACUGAUGAACUAACUGCUUCCUUCCUCGUUCUGGAUAAGACAACAUGCCGGCAAAGAUGAAAAAGAAAAAGCAGCGGCCCCAAAAACCUACCAAAGAAAAACAAGGAGCAAAGAAGAAAAAUAAAGCUGUUGUUGAGUGUGACAGCAAAGUUUCAGUGGACCAAAUCUGCGAGGCCUUCAGGUCCAACCAGCCGGAGUUUGAAUGUUUCCUGGUUGAGAUGAUUCAGUGGUUUUCUGAUCAUCAGCAGCAGGUUGAUCAGUAUUUCAGCCUCAGGGACGCAAACCAAAGUGGAUCAGUCCACCUGAAGGACUUUGAGCUUGGUAAUCCAUCGUCUCUCUGCACCGUCAUCCCUUCCACCUUCCUCUUGCUCUUUUUGAAACAUGGUAUUUUGUGGGAUUAUACACUAAAGACCUGAUUUAAAACCCUCUUGUCUUCUCUGUUCCAGCUCCUCUGAAUGUCAGAUAAAGAUGACCUUGAAGGAAAAAGAGAUUAGAAAGAGAUAUGUGAGUCAGUAUUAACCAAAUGCCACAGUGUGGUCGCACUGAAGUAUUUACGGAGGGUUACUGUGAAUCAGACUUUUGAUAAUGGGAGCUCAGUGGCUCAUUUCCUCUCAUCCCCUCACAGAUAAGAGCAGCUGGCUCUGGGAAACUAAACCAGGACAAUGUCUCUUUUGUCUGUCAAACUUCAGACGCACAGAGUAAACUAUACUUUUGUACUGAAGGACGUUUGAGAAGCUGCAGGAUAAUACUGUAGCUCUGGAAGUGCAGACUGUCAUUCACUGGGAAUCAGGUCUUUUCUAAGAGCGAGAAAACCUACAGGAUAAAACAGAACAAAAUUGGAUAAAACAAAAGUGGAAUCCUCAUGUAAACAUUCAAAAAACAAAUUUCAUUUUCUAGUUACAUUCAAAUAUGUAUUUUGCUUAUUGGAUGGACCAUGUUAUGUUAAUAGAACAAGAUUGAUACAGUCGUAUUAAGUUUGUCUUCAACCACGGUUGAUAUAUAUUUUAUCGGGAAUUUUAUGGCCGUAUACUUUAGAAAAGGGCAUAAUUGUCUUAUAUUUAUGACUUUUUAGAGAAUUCAUAGGUUAGAAAAUGUUUAGAAACUGUGCUUUAAGAGUAACUGACCCAGCUUUUUGUCAGUGUAUGUUUCAGAUGAGGGUUUACAUGUUGUUUCAAAGGUGUUCCCAUCAGGGGGGACUCAUCAAAUCUAGAUAAAAUGCCUACAUGUUGACAGCUGUGACAUCUCAGAUGGCCUAAAACUCGAUUAUCACUAUUACUGGUUGCAGGUCUGAUGAACCUGGGUGUCCCCUGUCAGGAGUUUCAGCUCCACGUGUUGACUGAGCAACUGAAAACCAACUACAAUACCAUCAGUUAUCAAGACAUAAACAGACAAGUACAGAGCUUAAGACACAGCAGCACAGAGGAUUGAAACUCAGGUAUCAAGGGACGCCUCCAGUUUGAAAAGACGUGCUGACAAACACAGGUUCAUCCGUCUGAGCGUCAGAAUGAUCCCCUUCGACUCUUCUUCAAACCAUCCUGGGAACUUUGAGGUGGUUUUGUCGAGCGACAGCAGAGUUUUCAGUCUGAUCAGGAUCAUCCAGGACCGGGUCAAGAUCCAGACUUCUAGGCUGGAGGUUUUUCGGAGCAGAACGCCCACAGAGGAGGCCUGCCUGCCCCCGAGAGCUCCCUGGAGGAGUGUGGCUUUGAGGGAGGACCAAGGGACAGUCCAACAGAGACACAGUGUACUACGACUACACACUGGUGUUUACAGACUGUCCAGUCCUCAACUGUGACCACUACUUCAUGUCAAAACCAGACUCUGCUGCCAGGAGGACUGGACACUGUCGAUUAAUUACGCAACUGUCCGAUGGUGUUUUUAGCCGUGGUAGUGGUCAGUCCACCACUUGAGUUCAGACUGAAAUAUCUCAACAGCCUCUCGAUGUUUGUUGUAAAAGUUUGUACAGACGUCCAUGUUUCCCAUCUUGCUGACUUUGGUGAUCCUUUAACGUUCCCUCUAGUGCCAUCAUGAGGUUCACAUCUGUGGUUCUGAAGAAAUAUUACAACAACUAUUGGAUAGACUGUCAUAAAAUUGGAGGGGGGGCUUUAAACCAGAUGAGUCUCAACUCUGAGACUCUGAGGAAUGGAGCUCAAACAAAAGGUUGCUUUAUUUCUCUAAUGGGGAGGGGUUGGUGAUGAGGAGGCUGGAAGAAACAGAAAUUCCUCCCAGACUUGGGUACAGUCUCAUGGGUUUUUCUUGGCAAUGUUGCUCCCUGUAGACAAUAGAGUAGUAGAGGAGUGGUGGUGGUGGGAUUCAUUCAGCUUGUUAGCAGCCCUCGCCUUUCAGGCCUCGGCUGAAUUCAAAUGUCUGGACUUCAGCGCACUCACACAUCUCUCUUCCAGGAAAUUAGGUCUGGAUCUUGAACUGGUUUUGAGUGGAACCACUGUAAUCAAGGAUGUGUCAUCAACAGAAGGUGUUGAACUAUGCACAACACAGCUCUGUCCAACCUGUAGAAUAUGACCUGCCCACUUAAGUCGUCAUAUUUCGCUCUUCAGGUCAAGAAAAACAAGUUCCAGCCAGGAACCAACUUUACAGGUUCCAAACUAAUUUAUUUUUGUCUCAAGUGCUAGAGUUGAAGGCAACCAACUAGACGUUUCACCUCUCAUCCUAAAGGCUUCAUCAGUUCUUAGGCUGGUUGGGGAGUCCCAGGUAUUUAACCUCAGGACCACCUCCCUCCUCAGGACCUGGAACUGAGGAGGUGUUUCAAAUGAGAGGUAAAAUGUCUUCAAGAAACCUAAAAGAAGUCCAGUUCCUUCAGCUCGAGCACUUAAAGACUUCCAUGACCUGGAUGACUGAGAACCUACACAGUCAAUAUAUUUUUGGUUGAAAAUUCUCUGAAUGGUUCAAAAUUUGGUGCAAAAUUUGAUGAACCGGAACGGAAGCCGUUCCACCUUGGUGAAAAAGGGGUAGAAGAGUCCUGGACUUAAUGGGAACAUUCCCAGGAAGUCCAUGAGUGCUGAGUUCUGUCUGAAUUCAAAACUCAUCAAGUCCACACGAGGCCCCAAGUGGAUUUUUGCAGCCAGUGAAAAAUUGAUGUAAUUUUUUUUGCAGAAGGAGGCUGAUAUAUCGCAGACACAGAUUGCCAGAAGCUGCUCUAGGUCAUGUGACCCAGAUAGUUGCCUCCUCAGAUGCAGGACUAGCAUACCCAGCAGGACCUCAAACUGCCCCACUGGACAGACCUUUAGUCUGUUUAGAGUGCAGACUUCACUUGGAAAAUUAGCCAUAAUACAAAGUGAUAUGGAUGUGAUGAUGUAAAAAACUAAAUUAAUAUGAAGAAUAUGUAUCAUAUGUAAUUAUAACAAAAUAACCUGUUGUCUGACGGUAAUGGCAUUGAAAAAAUAGUUGAAAACAUCACCAUUCUUAGUUUCCAUUGCUGAGCAUUAAAACCUGCCCUGUGAACAUGAAGCCGAACUCUUAACAGUCAGGUUUUAAAAGAGGAUUUAUGUCAGAAAGCUGCAGGGAGCUUCACACUCAGCACCUUGUGGCCUGUUUCCACUUUAAUUACACACUGAUGUGUCCUCACAGGGAUACAGUAUCAGCCAAGAGUGUUUAAAUCUUUACACCAACAUAAAGCAGUGUUUUUAGUUGUGGCCUCAGGGGGCCACAGAGCCUGAACUGUGCUGUACUGGGAGUCAGUGGAAAGUGCUUGGCUGGUGGAAACCACAGAGCAGCUAUAAACAGUGGCUGGUGGUGGCCGCUAAAGCGUGCCAUGCAGCCGACACACCCAGCAGCUUCCCCCGCUGCUCCACCCAGACGAGCUUUUAGAUCCCAGCUGCAGAUAUAAUUCACUGCUGCUGCUUCAUUUGUUAACAAACACACAGUGCACAGGGAGAAGGCUUAUGCAUCAGGACAGAACAAGCAAAAUUGCAAUUGCAAAGUUGCAAAAUUAACAAGAGUGCAAGGUUUUCAAAGUGAAAAUAGUAUUUAUUCAGUAGGUUCAAAAAUACUGCGCAAUAUAAAUAUUAAAAAAUUGAAUACUUUUUGUGUUUCAAUAUACUUGAACUUUAACACUGUUUACAUUUGGGAUAAAAACACAGACUUCAGACCUCAGGGCUGCAGCAGUUUGUUGUUUUACAUUGUUAAAAACCUUAAAAAUAUCUGCUGCUGUUUUUCAUUUAAGCUCAGAUCAGUAAUUCUGACAUGUUUUAUGAUUUGGGCCCAAACUACCGACAGAGGGGAAUAGUAUUAAUACGACUAUUCUGUAGAAGAAUGUAAAUGUCUCUUUACUCAGACAUUAAAACGUGCAACAGACGAAGAUGAACAUUAUAUAACAGACGUUUCUCCGUUUAUGAAGAAAAUCUUCCAUUUUCAAAACUU